rnacentral:rRNA from 1 species
CCCUAUCCGUCGCAGGCGUAGGAAAUUUGAGAAGACCUGUCCUUAGUACGAGAGGACCGGGAUGGACGUACCUCUGGUGUACCAGUUGUUCUGCCAAGGGCAUGGCUGGGUAGCUAUGUACGGAAUGGAUAAGCGCUGAAAGCAUCUAAGCGCGAAGCCAACUUCAAGAUAAGAUUUCCCACCGCAAGGGUAAGACCCCAGAAAGACUAUCUGGUUGAUAGGUCGAAGGUGUAAGUGCAGCAAUGUAUUUAGCUUAUCGAUACUAAUAGGUCGAGGACUUGACCAAU